rnacentral:rRNA from 1 species
GAUGAACGCUGGCGGCGUGCUUAACACAUGCAAGUCGAACGGAGAAGGCGCAGCUUGUUCUGCUGGAUUAGUGGUGCACGUGUGUGAAACGCGUGAGCAAUCUGCCCCUGACUGUGGCAUAACCGCUGCAAACGGCUACCAACACGGGAUACGUGCUGCGACCGCAUCUUCAGCCGAUGGAAAAAAUCUCGGUCAGGGAUGCGCUCGCGGCGUAUCAGCUUGUUGGUGAGGUAAUGGCACACCAAGGCAUAGACGGGUACCAGGCCUGAGAGGGUUACCGGCCACACUGGGACUGGGACACGGCCCAGACUCCUACGGGAGGGAGCAGUGGGGAAUAGUACACAAUAGGCGAAAGCCUGAUGCGGCAACGCCGCGUGGGGGACGACGGCCAUCGGGUUGUAAUCCUCUUUUCGCAGGGAAGAAACGAAAGUGACGGUACCUGCAGAAGAAGCGCCGGCUAACUACGUG